CAUGGUGUGGAGUUAGAGAGAAGUUCCUCAGCUGGAGAAGAGAGGAAUGCUACAAGUUUGUUACCAUUAGAUCUGUUCUGUGAGAAAUGCUAAUGGGAGUCUGUCCUUCCGGUCAAGAUGUAAAGAAGCUAAAAAGUCAUUUGAAGGUGUAUGAAGAAAUGCAGAUCUUCAGUAAAGGUUGGAAAGAGCAUCGUGGGUUCUCAUUAGGUGCUUCUCAUCUUCUGUGCAGCCAGCCCUGGGAUGUCAUAGGCUCCUUUGCCCCUCAGUUUCACCUCUAAUAGAAAAGGGAGG